UGUGCUGAAAUUUGCAGCCACGAUGUUUC
rnacentral:piRNA from 1 species